rnacentral:rRNA from 1 species
GAGAAUCUUCCGCAAUGGACGAAAGUCUGACGGAGCGACGCCGCGUGGUGGAUGAAGUCCUUAGGGACGUAAACACCUUUUAUGAGGGAGGAAGUUUAUUGACGUUACCUCAUGAAUAAGGGGCUCCCAAUUCUGUGCCAGCAGGAGCGGUAAUACAGAAGCCCCGAGCGUUACCCGGAAUCACUGGGCGUAAAGGGUGCGUAGGCGGUCAUAUUAGUCGGGUGUUAAAUCCUGGGGCUCAACCUCAGACUCGCAUUCGAAACGGUAUGACUAGAAGAUGUGAGAGGUGAACGGAACUCAAGGUGUAGGGGUGAAAUCCGUUGAUAUCUUGGGGAACACCAAAUGCGAAG